rnacentral:rRNA from 1 species
GGCCGACCGGACCUUGGUACCCCACAGUGAGCGGCAAAGCUCAAAUUUGAAAUCUGGCACCUUCGGUGUCCGAGUUGUAAUUUGAAGAAGCUACUUUGGGGCUAGUCCUUGUCUAUGUUCCUUGGAACAGGACGUCAUGGAGGGUGAGAAUCCCGUAUGGCGAGGAGUCUAGUCCUAUGUAAAGUGCUUUCGACGAGUCGAGUUGUUUGGGAAUGCAGCUCUAAGUGGGUGGUAAAUUCCAUCUAAAGCUAAAUAUUGGCGAGAGACCGAUAGCGAACAAGUACAGUGAUGGAAAGAUGAAAAGAACUUUGAAAAGAGAGUGAAAAAGUACGUGAAAUUGUUGAAAGGGAAGGGCAUUUGAUCAGACAUGGUGUUUUGCGACCCUCGCUCCUUGUGGGUGGGGAUCUCGCAGCUCACUGGGCCAACAUCAGUUUUGGCGGUAGGAUAAAUCUUUGGGAACGUGGCUUGUCUUCGGAGAAGCGUUAUAGCCCAGGGGAAUACUGCCAGCCGGGACUGAGGACUGCGACUUUUGUCAAGGAUGUUGGCAUAAUGGUUAAAUGCCGCUCGUCUUGAAACCCGGACUCGAAAUG